GCGCAGCAGUCGAGAAUUUUUCUCAAUGGGGGAAACCCUGAAGGAGCGACGCCGCGUGGAGGAUGAAGGUCUUCGGAUUGUAAACUCCUGUCAUUAGGGAACAAAUCUUCCAAGUAACUACUGGAAGUCUGAUAGUACCUGAAGAGGAAGAGACGGCUAACUCUGUGCCAGCAGCCGCGGUAAUACAGAGGUCUCAACCGUUGUUCGGAUUCAUUGGGCGUAAAGGGUGCGUAGGCGGCGGAGUAAGUCAGGUGUGAAAUCUCGGGGCUCAACCCCGAAACUGCACUUGAUACUGCUUCGCUUGAGUAUUGGAGAGGAGAUUGGAAUUUACGGUGUAGCAGUGAGAUGCGUAGAUAUCGUAAGGAAGACCAGUGGCGAAGGCGAAUCUCUGGACAAUUACUGACGCUGAGGCACGAAGGCCAGGGGAGCAAACGGGAUUA
rnacentral:rRNA from 1 species